GCGCGAGUGGUGGAACGGCAGACACGCUGGGUUUAGGUCUCAGUGCCUUCGGGUGUGCGGGUUCGAAUCCCGCCUCGCGCA
rnacentral:tRNA from 1 species